rnacentral:rRNA from 1 species
UCCGGUUGAUCCUGCCGGACCCGACCGCUAUCGGGGUAGGGCUAAGCCAUGCGAGUCGCGCGCCCGGGGGCGCCCGGGAGCGGCGCACGGCUCAGUAACACGUGCCCAACCUACCCUCGGGAGGGGGACACCCCCGGGAAACUGGGGCCAAUCCCCCAUAGGGGAGGGGCGCUGGAAGGCCCCCUCCCCCAAAGGGAUGGCGGCCGAUCCGCCGCCAUCCGCCCGAGGAUGGGGGCACGGCCCAUCAGGUAGUUGGCGGGUUAAAGGCCCGCCAAGCCGAAGACGGGUAGGGGCGGUGAGAGCCGCGAGCCCCGAGAUCGGCACUGAGACAAGGGCCGAGGCCCUACGGGGUGCAGCAGGCGCGAAUACUCCGCAAUGCGGGCAACCGCGACGGGGCUACCCCGAGUGCCGGGCGAAGAGCCCGGCUUUUGCCCGGUCUAAAAAGCCGGGAGAAUAAGCGGGGGGCAAGUCUGGUGUCAGCCGCCGCGGUAAUACCAGCUCCGCGAGUGGUCGGGGUGUUUACUGGGCUUAAAGCGCCCGUAGCCGGCCCGGCAAGUCGCUCCUGAAAUCCCCGGGCUCAACCCGGGGGCGGGGGGCGAUACUGCCGGGCUAGGGGGCGGGAGAGGCCGCCGGUACUCCGGGGGUAGGGGCGAAAUCCGUUAAUCCCCGGAGGACCACCAGUGGCGAAAGCGGGCGGCCAGAACGCGCCCGACGGUGAGGGGCGAAAGCCGGGGG